rnacentral:lncRNA from 1 species
AUCCACCAACUUUUGUUCCCUGAUCAACCUUCCACUUUGAAGAUCGUUGCUGCUCCUUCUGAUUCGACGCCACCUUGCCAGUCAACAAAGGAAAUCUGCUGUUGACCGAAGAAGCCCCCAACAGCUGCAUCGGCGUCCGCUCCAUCUCUCGGCAACGACGCCAGCUGCAUCUCCACGGACGUCUUCGCCAGCAGCUGCUUUCGUCCAUGCGUCAUCAGCCCGCGUGUCUUCAAGCCAUCCGCGUCUCCAGCGAAGACAGCAGCUCACGUUUUCCUCUGCCCGCACGUCCGUGUUUCCUCGGUCAGCCCACGUCCCCAGCGUGGUCUUCUCCAGCGAACGUGUCUUCGUGGCCCAGAUCGCAAGAAGCAAGCCCCUGAUUCCAGCAACUUUGGCCCAUGUCCAUCAGUCCAGCAAUCUGCUACGGCCCAGACUUGAAGCCCACGUGAAUUUCCAGCAGCCCAAAAGUCCAGCAGUUCAGCUGCUUGAAGCCCGGCCCAGUUCAGUGUUCCCAGCAGCCUUCAGCCCAUCGAAUUUGGUCCAACGAAGCCCAACAAAUUUCUGUUUUCAGCAAGCUCAAGUGUUCAGCCCGUUGAGUCCAACUUUGAAGCCUGUAUCUUCAGCCCAUUUUCAGUCUUGAAGUCGACCCAAGAAGCAGGCCCAAGCCCAACUUUUUGCUAUGAGCUUGCAAGGCUUUUGGGCCCAACCCGAGUGUCUGCCGAUGCCGCUGAAAAUUUGGAUUUUGUCUGCCGUCGCAUCGCCGUCGCGGUGUUCCAGUCUUCGCUUUUGAUCAAGUGAGUUUUGCUCACUAAUCCCUUAUUAGUCGGUUAAUUAUGCUUAGGGGUUUAUUAGAUUUAAUUAAGUGCAAUUAUGUGGAUAUAUCACAGUAGAGUAAUUAGUUUAGAGCUUUAUUAAUGUAUGUUAGGCAAAUGGUUAGUGAUAUCAGCAAGUAGACUCGUGUUAUUAUUUAUUGAACGAGUCUUGGAAAUUUUCCGGGUCCGUUGUGGCUUCCAAUUAGGCAUUACGGGCCUAAAUUAGGUUUAUUGCAUUUAUUUGAUAUUUUCCAUAAUUAUUUAUUUAUUUUUCGAAAAUUAGGCUGGGAUAGUUGACGACCGGAAUUUUAUGCUGAUUAUUGUGGUGUAGUCUAUUUAUUUAUUUGAGCGUUGAUUGGUGUUGAAUUGAAUUAAUUAUGAUUUUAAGAUUUUAUUCAUAAUUUAAUUAAUUUUGGUAAUUAAUGGGAAAAUUAUCGGGCGUUGGUUUACAACGCCAAACAUAUGUAAUGGGCUGUUGAGAAAUAUUGUAUUUUGGCUAAGGCGUGUGUACCCACACAUGAUCAUUUUUAACGGGUAUUCUUAACCUGAGGAAAAUAGGCCAAGAUACUAUGUUAAUUGAGAAAUUUAUUUGAGGAGUGUAAUGUUGUUGUCUGUGGGUGAAUAAUCGUAUGACAUUGUGGGUUAGAUCGAAAAAACCGCUGAAGUAUGGUUAUGUCCAUUGGACCGUAAGUUACCACCUAAUCUAGGUUGUACUCGCUGAACCGUAAUUCAGCACUACCACCGAACUUGAAAUCGGUUGUGCACGCUGAGCCGUAAUUCAGUAUUACCACAGAAUUUGGAAUUGGUUGUGCUAGUUGGGCCGUAAUUUAGCAUUAACCGCCGAAGAAUUAGUAAGUCGUGCCCACUGAGCCAUAAUUCAGCAUUAUCGCCAAAGUUUUAGUAGGCCGUACUUGUUGAGCCGUAAUUUAGCGUUGCGGUUGAAUAUUUGAGAUAACUGUGUAGGCUGUGCUUGCUGAACCGUAACUUAGCAGUGAAUUUGAGUAAAUGAGAUGAGCCGACCAAUAAAGGGUCGAGAUGGCAUGUAAUCAACUAGGUCGAUUGAUUAAUGAUUUGAUCUGAUGUUAUAAAUUGAUUGAGUGAUGUGAUAUAAGGUAUCUGUAAAUAACGUUGAUUUGCAUGAUGGAACUGAAGUCAAAGUAAGUCCCUUGACUUGUGUUGUGCUUAAGCAGUUUCUUGAAUGUAUUGGCUUCCUAAUUGGGACUUGAACUGCCACCUUCGCUACCGCAGUGACAUUCACGGGAGGUGUGAUGAGGGGGCCCAAGAGCAGCAGUUGGUUGAGUGCCUUGGCGUGCUGAAAGGUCUGCAAACAUUGAGACACAAAACAUUACUCUUUGGAAAAGGUGAAGUUCGCAUAUGGUAGGCAUGGCAUUUUCCAACUUCAGGUUCUGCUCAAGCAAGGUUCUAGCAAGUAUUCUUAGUGAUUUCAAUGGAAGUUGGACAGUAAAAUAUGGGCCAUAUUGUAGACAGCAAGGCGUAGCGUAGACCAACGUCAUUCAGGCAAAGCAUAGACCAUUUUGUGUAGGAGCUCACACGAGUAGUGUCGGAAACAUGCCGCAUUCAGUGC